CUCCUCUGUUUCAUUUGCACGUUAGGGCUCUUCUCGUAGAGCUUCUCCUCUGUUUCAUUUGCACGUGAGGGCUCUUCUCAUCCUAUUUAUCAAGCGUUCCUUCUCCUACGUUCAUCAAUUCGUUAGUCUCAUUCCCUCCGUUUCAUUUUAGGGCUCCUUCGACGGUACGUUACGUUGCUUUGGACUCCCGUUUUUGGCGCUUUGGACUACAACAUUAAGUUUGUGGAAGCUGUUCUGGAGAUAAAAGCUACCUCACAGUAUCCAAAAGAACCACCUUCUAUUGAGCUUGUGGAUUGCAAGGGUCUGGAUGAACAGAGACAGAAACAUCUAUUAAAUUACAUACAAAGUAAAGCCUGUGAGAUCUCCCCUUGUUUAAUGCUUGUAGCUCUUUGUGAGGUAACAAUUGCAUCAUUGAUCUAGCUGCACAUUUUAAAACAAGAAUAGUGAUGGUUUUGCUCCAUACAUAUAUGUCCCUUGUUUGUUAAGCAUUUAGUUAGUAAAAUCUAUAGCAUCUACUUCGAUCGAAUUUUUGCUUUGGUCCUGGUUGAGAUGAAAAGAUUUAAUAAAAAUAAGGUCCCUUUCCCCUAAACUAUUUUUAUCUGGUGAUAUUUAUCAGUAGAUGAGUUUUAUAUACACUCUGGUGAUAAUGAGGCUAAUAGCAAAUGUGGAAAGUUCUGAAAAACAGUGUGAAGAUCCGUGUUAGUUUAAAAUAAAGUGAUAGGAGAUACCUUGGCCAGUGUUUUUGGGUUCUUGGCCAAGAAUUCAAACUUAUGGGCAGAUUGAGACUUGAUGAUAAGACCAAAUCAGUUGUACAGAAUAACUAAGCACAGGAAAGGGAGUUAGGCUGGUGUAUGAGAAGCUUCAGGUAGCAAACCUAGCCAUACUGUUACAGUAGAAAUUGGGUACAAGCUUGCCUUGAAUUACAUAUUCUAUUGUCAAACAAGGGUCUCCAUAUUCUGCAACUGCUUUGGGGGCUUGCAGGUUUUCCUUUUAUUAUCACAUCUUUACUGUUAUGUUUAUUUAUUUUUUGAGAUCUUUGGUAUUCAACAGCUACGUUCAAUGUUGAGUAAUUGGAUUUAAGUAAAUUUAUUUCAGUAAAAUUCUUAUGAUGUAGUGAGAGAUGUUGGAAUCUUCUGCUGAAAUCUGGGUUUGUUAUAAUUUUUCUAUAGUGGAUUUGAAUUGUGGUGGCCCUUAAACUUAAAUUUGAUUUGGGCCUUAAGGCUUUGUAAUUCUGUUUGGCUAACUGGUUUGUUGGAAAGAUGAUAUUUGUUUGGUUAAGUGGUUUGUUGGCAAAUCAAUAGCUUUUUAGAAGAACGAGAUAAAAUUUUCAAGUAGUUGGAUUUGAAAUUUUCAAGUACUUGGAUUCAUGCUUAUAGUUGUCUGUUUACGAAUUGCAUAGUCUUUUACAUUGCGACUGCAAUUGCCACUGAAACUGUGGUUUUUUACCAUUGUUUAAAACCAUGAGAAAUUGUUUGAUCCUGUUUUCACCUACUGGGCUUAUUUUCUGCAGUUUUGCUAUUUUUAUUCACCUUAUUGAGUUUGGGAUUUGUUCCAAUUUCUGGUUAACUGUGAGAUCUCUAUCAAAUUUCUAUUUGUGUUUGGUUCAAAUGGAUUUUGGCUUGUUUCAUGAAGCUCUUGGUUCUCCUUGUUUUGUAAAAGUGUUUUGGUCCUCUAAAGCCCAGAUCUACUGAUAUGAGUCAAUCUUCAAACGCUUACCUAAUUGAGUUUGGAUCGUUAUUUGUUACAUGCUUUUAUAUUUUUGGUUAAAAUCUUUAUACUGAUUAACCAUAUAUAGUUCCUUUCUCUGCUUUUCAGAAAACUGUGACAAACCCUUCAAUUUUGUAACACUUGCUUAUGAGGGUUAUAUUGCUGCCAAACAUAUUAAUAGACCAUAAACAAAUGUAACACUUGCCAUAUAAUUCAACCACAUUAAUCCAGCAGAUAAAUUUACUAAUUCCAAGUAAAUUUACUAAUUCCAGCAGACUAGUCACGUUAAUUAUUAAGUCUUAGAUUUUGUACCAAACUCUCUAUUACCUAGGGAGUUCUCUGAAGUAUAAAUAACUUCUCGUAAGGCCCACCAACAUCGAUAAACCAUUGCCUCUAGUUNAGUUAAAUGAUCUAAAGCUCCAAGGAAGCUUAACUAACAAUUAUCUCGCUUAUACUCUCCCUCCUUAUAUGCAGAACUAAAAAUCUGCCUACUAGUUUAGAAACCUGAUCAGUAACUCUAUUUAUCCUCAACAACAAUCUUUUAGAAAUCUUAACCCAUCUUUGAGUGUUUNGUUGUUGAUGCAUGCCUAGUUUUAUUCGAAAAAUUUGUAUGUGGUACAAUUUCGUUAUUUAUAANUCCUUCCCAUUUUUAUCCUAUGUUGAGCAGUUUUUUUUUUCUUUUCCACAAAUGACUAUAGGUUUUUUUGUGUUCUCUGUAUUUGAUUUUUCUAUUGGUAACAAUGCUAACAUAGGAGGAAGGAAAAGAAAAAUUGGAUCAUAAAUUUGGACAUCCUAUAUUUGAUAUUGUUAC